rnacentral:rRNA from 1 species
GACGAACGCUGGCGGCGUGCUUAACACAUGCAAGUCGAACGGUGAAGCGCCUUCCUUUUUGGUGGGUGUGGAUGAGUGGCGAACGGGUGAGUAACACGUGAGUAACCUGCCCCCUUCUUCUGGAUAACCGCAUGAAAGUGUGGCUAAUACGGGAUAUUCUGGGUCUGUCGCAUGAUGGGUCUGGGAAAGAUAUUGUUUCGGUGGGGGAUGGGCUCGCGGCCUAUCAGCUUGUUGGUGGGGUGAUGGCCUACCAAGGCGGUGACGGGUAGCCGGCCUGAGAGGGUGGACGGUCACACUGGGACUGAGACACGGCCCAGACUCCUACGGGAGGCAGCAGUGGGGAAUAUUGCACAAUGGGCGCAAGCCUGAGGCAGCGACGCCGCGUGAGGGAUGGAGGCCUUCGGGUUGUGAACCUCUUUCGCCAGUGAAGCAGGCCUGCCUCGUUUGUGGGUGGGUUGACGGUAGCUGGAUAAGAAGCGCCGGCUAACUACGUG